rnacentral:rRNA from 1 species
AAGCACCGGCUAACUACGUGCCAGCAGCCGCGGUAAUACGUAGGGUGCGAGCGUUAAUCGGAAUUACUGGGCGUAAAGCGAGCGCAGACGGUUACUUAAGCAGGAUGUGAAAUCCCCGGGCUCAACCUGGGAACUGCGUUCUGAACUGGGUGACUAGAGUGUGUCAGAGGGAGGUAGAAUUCCACGUGUAGCAGUGAAAUGCGUAGAGAUGUGGAGGAAUACCGAUGGCGAAGGCAGCCUCCUGGGAUAACACUGACGUUCAUGCUCGAAAGCGUGGGUAGCAAACAGGAUUAGAUACCCUGGUAGUCCACGCCCUAAACGAUGUCAAUUAGCUGUUGGGCAACUUGAUUGCUUAGUAGCGUAGCUAACGCGUGAAAUUGACCGCCUGGGGAGUACGGUCGCAAGAUUAAAACUCAAAGGAAUUGACGGGGACCCGCACAAGCGGUGGAUGAUGUGGAUUAAUUCGAUGCAACGCGAAGAACCUUACCUGGUCUUGACAUGUACGGAAUCCUCCAGAGACGGAGGAGUGCCUUCGGGAGCCGUAACACAGGUGCUGCAUGGCUGUCGUCAGCUCGUGUCGUGAGAUGUUGGGUUAAGUCCCGCAACGAGCGCAACCCUUGUCAUUAGUUGCCAUCAUUAAGUUGGGCACUCUAAUGAGACUGCCGGUGACAAGCCGGAGGAAGGUGGGGAUGACGUCAAGUCCUCAUGGCCCUUAUGACCAGGGCUUCACACGUCAUACAAUGGUCGGUACAGAGGGUAGCCAAGCCGCGAGGUGGAGCCAAUCUCACAAAACCGAUCGUAGUCCGGAUUGCACUCUGCAACUCGAGUGCAUGAAGUCGGAAUCGCUAGUAAUCGCAGGUCAGCAUACUGCGGUGAAUACGUUCCCGGGUCUUGUACACACCGCCCGUCACACCAUGGGAGUGGGGGAUACCAGAAGUAGGUAGGGUAACCGCAAGGAGCCCGCUUACCACGGUAUGCUUCAUGACUGGGGUGAAGUCGUAACAAGGUAGCCGUAGGGGAACCUGCGGCUG